CUUUAUGUCUCUAUUUUCCAAGGAAGGACCAUGGAUGCUAUUAAUUUCUUCAGUGUAAGCAUUGUUUUCCAGGAAGUAGAUAAUGAAGUUCGGUAGAAACAGGUGGAGUCACAUCAGUUGACUAAAACAAGGAAGAACUCAUACAAAGCUAGAUCAUAUUGUGGGUAAUCUCAUCCAUCCUCCUACCCAGGAUCGACCAACAUUAUACUUUUCCUGUUUAACACACAACUGUAUCCACAGAUAAUGCAUUGCCAAGAGGGUCACCUGCUGAAAAGAUACUUUCUUUAAGAAGAGUACACUUCAAAGGGACUGACAGUGCUUUGCAGAGUGAAUGCAAAAGUUGCAAAGCAGUAGAAGCCAACUUACAGAAGACAGAUUUUAUCUGUAACAAGCUUCAUCCUGCCCAAACUGUAUCAUAACUGCUACAGAAACAUCAGAUAGAAUACAGGGAAAAAACCAACCCACCUGGGCAGAGGGAGAAUUCAAAGGACAACGUUUUGCCUCACAGGGAGAAUAUGCCUGAGGUGUACCUGGCUGAGAGGACAACAAACAUGGAGUGGGAUGGAUGUUUCCCACUUACAGUGAGGGAGUACAACACAUGCUUUAUCUCAAUUUUAAAUAUUUGUGUGGUCUCUAUCACUAUAGUGUCUGAACAACAUGGAAAAAUCAUUAAUGAGAAUUUUGUUGCAGAGAAGUUAAUUCUAAGAUAUUACAGAUGGAAGCAGGAAAAUGGAUGAGAGAGGGGGAAACAUGAUAGAUUAUAAGGGCGUUCCUAAGGGAAGCUACUUGUUCAUUUAAUAACAAAGGACUGUUCUGCACUGGACAUUGUUUCUGCGUUCACCGAGCCUGUCGACAGUAUUGAAUAUUUUUGGCUGCAAGGGCUGCUCCCCUGUAGAAGGAGGGGUUUUGUGUGGGAAAGUUACGAGGCAGAAAAUUCAGAACUCAACGUAUGUCAAGCAAUGAAAAUGGCUCAAGCACAUCAAAUAUCACCCUGUUUUAUAGAUUAAUGAAAGAAGCUGAGCUGCAGCGUGCACAGCAUUAAGGCAGAGAAAAAAAUACCAUUAUCCAGCAGAUGAUAACAAAUAUUGUGGAAUGAUUUCAUGCCCGGAGCUAUAGUAGGAAGGCAUAAAUGAGACAUUUCAGCACCUACCUGAGGAUCUCAGUUUGGUACCACCUUUCGACCUGUGAACGAGUGGACUGAUGCAAGGCCCUGCACCACAGUGAAGGUGCAUCACCAGCCAUCACCACCCUCAGCAGUUAUAAGCUGAUACAAAAGGCACAAGAGGACUGUGAAUCUAUGCC